UACAGAGGGUGCAAGCGUUAAUCGGAAUUACUGGGCGUAAAGCGUGCGCAGGCGGUUUGUUAAGACAGAUGUGAAAUCCCCGGGCUUAACCUGGGAACUGCGUUUGUAACUGGCAAGCUAGAGUGUGGCAGAGGGGGGUGGAAUUCCAAGUGUAGCAGUGAAAUGCGUAGAUAUUUGGAGGAACACCAAUGGCGAAGGCAGCCCCCUGGGUUAACACUGACGCUCAUGCACGAAAGCGUGGGGAGCAAACAGG
rnacentral:rRNA from 1 species